rnacentral:rRNA from 1 species
AAUGUUGAAAAAUUAGCGGAUGACUUGUGGCUGGGGGUGAAAGGCCAAUCAAACCGGGAGAUAGCUGGUUCUCCCCGAAAGCUAUUUAGGUAGCGCCUCGUGAACUCAUCUUCGGGGGUAGAGCACUGUUUCGGCUAGGGGGUCAUCCCGACUUACCAACCCGAUGCAAACUACGAAUACCGAAGAAUGUUAUCACGGGAGACACACGG